AGAACGAACGCUGGCGGCAUGCCUAAUACAUGCAAGUCGAACGAACACUUCGGUGUUAGUGGCGCACGGGUGCGUAACGCGUGGGAAUCUGCCCUUGGGUUCGGAAUAACAGUUGGAAACGACUGCUAAUACCGGAUGAUAUCGAAAGAUCAAAGAUUUAUCGCCCAGGGAUGAGCCCGCGUAGGAUUAGCUAGUUGGUGAGGUAAGGCUCACCAAGGCGACGAUCCUUAGCUGGUCUGAGAGGAUGAUCAGCCACACUGGGACUGAGACACCGGCCCAGACCU
rnacentral:rRNA from 1 species